rnacentral:lncRNA from 1 species
GACAUAGCCCAGAAUAGCUAUGACGACGGGUGAAACCGUCGCUAUAGCCCAAAAAACCGUCGCUAUAGCUAUGACGACGUAUUUCUUUAAAUAAUAAAAAUAUUAUUAUAAUAUAUAUAUAUAUACACUACAAAAAAAUGGGCCUUUAGCAACGAUUUUUCGGGCAACGACUUUAUAAGUCGUUGCUAAAAGUAUAUGUUUAGCAACGAAAUUUGUCCUUCGUUGCAGAUUGUGUCAGGCUUUCACUUUUCGUUGCAAAAAUUCGUUGCUAAUUCAUUAGCGGAAAAAAAUUUCGUUAGAAAUUCGUUGCAAAAUUUUAGGCCAUUUGAUUUCCUGUCAUUGUG